rnacentral:misc_RNA from 1 species
UCGAGUUAGGGUCUUCUCGGCCCGACCUCCCAACCCUUUGUUAAAACUACCACUUGUUGCUUCGGCAGGCCCGUCCCCCUGUGGACCGCCGGCGGACCGCCGAAAGGCGUCCUCUGGCCUGCGCCUGUCGAUAGCCCCCCUUUCAAAUUCUGAACAAAACGUGUCAUGAUCUGAGUCUAUCACAAAAAUUAAAGCAA